rnacentral:rRNA from 1 species
UACGAAGGGGGCUAGCGUUGUUCGGAUUUACUGGGCGUAAAGCGCACGUAGGCGGACUAUUAAGUCAGGGGUGAAAUCCCGGGGCUCAACCCCGGAACUGCCUUUGAUACUGGUAGUCUUGAGUUCGAGAGAGGUGAGUGGAAUUCCGAGUGUAGAGGUGAAAUUCGUAGAUAUUCGGAAGAACACCAGUGGCGAAGGCGGCUCACUGGACUGGUAUUGACGCUGAGGUGCGAAAGCGUGGGGAGCAACAGG